rnacentral:rRNA from 1 species
AGAACGAACGCUGGCGGCAGGCUUAACACAUGCAAGUCGAACGCGUGUAGCAAUACACGAGUGGCGCACGGGUGAGUAACGCGUGGAUAUCUGCCUUUUGGUUCGGAAUAACCCCGGGAAACUGGGGCUAAUACCGGAUGGUUCCUACGGGAUAAAGAUUUAUCGCCAAAAGAUGAGUCCGCGUCCGAUUAGCUAGUUGGUGGGGUAAUGGCCUACCAAGGCGACGAUCGGUAGCUGGUCUGAGAGGACGAUCAGCCACACUGGGACUGAGACACGGCCCAGACUCCUACGGGAGGCAGCAGUGGGGAAUAUUGGACAAUGGGGGCAACCCUGAUCCAGCCAUGCCGCGUGAGUGAUGAAGGCCUUCGGGUUGUAAAGCUCGUUUUGGCGGGGACGAUGAUGACGGUACCCGCAGAAUAAGCCCCGGCUAACUCGUGCCAGCAGCCG